rnacentral:rRNA from 1 species
CAGCCGCCGCGGUAAUACGUAGGUGGCAAGCGUUGUCCGGAAUUAUUGGGCGCAAAGGGCUCGCAGGCGGUUUCUUAAGUCUGAUGUGAAAGCCCCCGGCUCAACCGGGGAGGGUCAUUGGAAACUGGGAAACUUGAGUGCAGAGGAGGAGAGUGGAAUUCCACGUGUAGCGGUGAAAUGCGUAGAGAUGUGGAGGAACACCAGUGGCGAAGGCGACUCUCUGGUCUGUAACUGACGCUGAGGAGCGAAAGCGUGGGGAGCGAACAGGAUUAGAUACCCCUGUAGUCCCUGUCUCUUAUAC